UACGGAGGAUGCAAGCGUUAUCCGGAAUGAUUGGGCGUAAAGCGUCCGCAGGUGGCUGUGUAAGUCUGCUGUCAAAGAGCAAAGCUCAACUUUGUAAAGGCAGUGGAAACUACACGGCUAGUGUGCGUUCGGGGCAGAGGGAAUUCCUGGUGUAGCGGUGAAAUGCGUAGAGAUCAGGAAGAACACCGGUGGCGAAAGCGCUCUGCUAGGCCGCAACUGACACUGAGGGACGAAAGCUAGGGGAGCGAAUGGG
rnacentral:rRNA from 1 species